AUUGAACGCUGGCGGCAGGCCUAACACAUGCAAGUCGAGCGGAUGAAGGGAGCUUGCUCCUGGAUUCAGCGGCGGACGGGUGAGUAAUGCCUAGGAAUCUGCCUGGUAGUGGGGGAUAACGUCCGGAAACGGGCGCUAAUACCGCAUACGUCCUGAGGGAGAAAGUGGGGGAUCUUCGGACCUCACGCUAUCAGAUGAGCCUAGGUCGGAUUAGCUAGUUGGUGGGGUAAAGGCCUACCAAGGCGACGAUCCGUAACUAGUCUGAGAGGAUGAUCAGUCACACUGGAACUGAGACACGGUCCAGGCUCCUACGGGAGGCAGCAGUGGGGAAUAUUGGACAAUGGGCGAAAGCCUGAUCCAGCCAUACCGCGUGUGUGAAGAAGGUCUUCGGAUUGUAAAGCACUUUAAGUUGGGAGGAAGGGCAGUAAGUUAAUACCUUGCUGUUUUGACGUUACCAACAGAAUAAGCACCGGCUAACUUCGUG
rnacentral:rRNA from 1 species